GUAGUCAUAUGCUUGUCUCAAAGAUUAAGCCAUGCAUGUCUCAGUGCAAGCCGUCCUGUACGGUGAAACCGCGAAAGGCUCAUUAAAUCAGUUAUGGUUCCUUAGAUAGUACCCACGUUACUUGGAUAACUGUGGUAAUUCUAGAGCUAAUACAUGCCGACAGAGUUCCGACCAGCGUCGCGGCGGCUUGCCGUUCGCGGCGUUCGGAAGGAGCGCUUUUAUUAGAUCAAAAUCGGCCAAGCGCAACGUUCGCGUAGCGUUAGUGGCCCGCGCAAAGACUUGACGACUCUGAAUAACUUCGAGCUGAUCGCACGGUCUCGCACCGGCGACGUAUCUUUCAAAUGUCUGCCUUAUCAACUGUCGACGGUACGUUCGAUGCUUACCGUGGUGGUAACGGGUAACGGGGAAUCAGGGUUCGAUUCCGGAGAGGGAGCCUGAGAAACGGCUACCACAUCCAAGGAAGGCAGCAGGCGCGCAAAUUACCCACUCCCAGCUCGGGGAGGUAGUGACGAAAAAUAACGAUACGGGACUCAUCCGAGGCCCCGUAAUCGGAA
rnacentral:rRNA from 1 species